rnacentral:rRNA from 1 species
CCUACGGGGUGCAGCAGUGAGGAAUAUUGGUCAAUGGGCGGAAGCCUGAACCAGCCAAGUCGCGUGAGGGAAUAAGGCCCUACGGGUCGUAAACCUCUUUUGCCGGGGAGCAAGGGCGGGGACGUGUCCCGGCCCGGAGAGUACCCGGAGAAAAAGCAUCGGCUAACUCCGUGCCAGCAGCCGCGGUAAUACGGAGGAUGCGAGCGUUAUCCGGAUUUAUUGGGUUUAAAGGGUGCGUAGGCGGGCUUUUAAGUCAGCGGGAAAAAUUCGGGGCUCAACCCCGUCCGGCCGUUGAAACUGGGGGCCUUUAGGGGGCUAGAAGAAGGUGGACUGCGGGGUGUAUCGUUGACAUGCA